GGGGAUUUGGCUCAACGGCAUAAGCGCCUGCCUUGCAAGCAGGCAGUCGUGAGUUUGAUCCCCG
rfam:Cavia porcellus supercont2_93 genomic scaffold, whole genome shotgun sequence.